rnacentral:rRNA from 1 species
CCUACGGGUGACAGCAGUGGGGAAUAUUGGGCAAUGGGCGCAAGCCUGACCCAGCAACGCCGCGUGAAGGAAGAAGGCUUUCGGGUUGUAAACUUCUUUUGACAGGGAAGAGUAGAAGACGGUACCUGUCGAAUAAGCCACGGCUAACUACGUGCCAGCAGCCGCGGUAAUACGUAGGUGGCUAGCGUUGUCCGGAUUUACUGGGUGUAAAGGGCGUGUAGCCGGGUUGACAAGUCAGAUGUGAAAUCCUGCGGCUUAACCGCAGAACUGCAUUUGAAACUGUUGAUCUUGAGUACUGGAGAGGCAGACGGAAUUCCUAGUGUAGCGGUGAAAUGCGUAGAUAUUGCGCAGAACUCCGAUUGCGAAGGCAGCAUACCGGCGGCGAUCUGACGCUGAGGCACGAAAGCGUGGGUAUCGAACAGGAUUAGAUACCCCUGUAGUC